CCUACGGGGGGCUGCAGUGGGGAAUAUUGCACAAUGGGCGCAAGCCUGAUGCAGCCAUGCCGCGUGUGUGAAGAAGGCCUUCGGGUUGUAAAGCACUUUCAGCGGGGAGGAAGGCGUUAAGGUUAAUAACCUUGUCGAUUGACGCUACCCGCAGAAGAAGCACCGGCUAACUCCGUGCCAGCAGCCGCGGUAAUACGGAGGGUGCAAGCGUUAAUCGGGAUUACUGGGCGUAAAGCGCACGCAGGCGGUCUGUCAAGUCGGAUGUGAAAUCCCCGGGCUCAACCUGGGAACUGCAUUCGAAACUGGCAGGCUAGAGUCUUGUAGAGGGGGGUAGAAUUCCAGGUGUAGCGGUGAAAUGCGUAGAGAUCUGGAGGAAUACCGGUGGCGAAGGCGGCCCCCUGGACAAAGACUGACGCUCAGGUGCGAAAGCGUGGGGAGCAAACAGGAUUAGAUACCCCAGUAGUC
rnacentral:rRNA from 1 species